rnacentral:rRNA from 1 species
AGCGUACACGGUGGAUGCCCUGGCAGUCAGAGGCGAUGAAGGACGUGCUAAUCUGCGAUAAGCGUCGGUGAGGUGAUAUGAACCGUUAUAACCGGCGAUUUCCGAAUGGGGAAACCCAGUGUGUUUCGACACACUAUCAUUAACUGAAUCCAUAGGUUAAUGAGGCGAACCGGGGGAACUGAAACAUCUAAGUACCCCGAGGAAAAGAAAUCAACCGAGAUUCCCCCAGUAGCGGCGAGCGAACGGGGAGGAGCCCAGAGCCUGAAUCAGUGUGUGUGUUAGUGGAAGCGUCUGGAAAGGCGCGCGAUACAGGGUGACAGCCCCGUACACAAAAAUGCACAUACUGUGAGCUCGAUGAGUAGGGCGGGACACGUGGUAUCCUGUCUGAAUAUGGGGGGACCAUCCUCCAAGGCUAAAUACUCCUGACUGACCGAUAGUGAACCAGUACCGUGAGGGAAAGGCGAAAAGAACCCCGGCGAGGGGAGUGAAAAAGAACCUGAAACCGUGUACGUACAAGCAGUGGGAGCCUCUUAAUGGGGUGACUGCGUACCUUUUGUAUAAUGGGUCAGCGACUUAUAUUCUGUAGCAAGGUUAACCGAAUAGGGGAGCCGAAGGGAAACCGAGUCUUAACUGGGCGUUAAGUUGCAGGGUAUAGACCCGAAACCCGGUGAUCUAGCCAUGGGCAGGUUGAAGGUUGGGUAACACUAACUGGAGGACCGAACCGACUAAUGUUGAAAAAUUAGCGGAUGACUUGUGGCUGGGGGUGAAAGGCCAAUCAAACCGGGAGAUAGCUGGUUCUCCCCGAAAGCUAUUUAGGUAGCGCCUCGUGAAUUCAUCUCCGGGGGUAGAGCACUGUUUCGGCAAGGGGGUCAUCCCGACUUACCAACCCGAUGCAAACUGCGAAUACCGGAGAAUGUUAUCACGGGAGACACACGGCGGGUGCUAACGUCCGUCGUGAAGAGGGAAACAACCCAGACCGCCAGCUAAGGUCCCAAAGUCAUGGUUAAGUGGGAAACGAUGUGGGAAGGCCCAGACAGCCAGGAUGUUGGCUUAGAAGCAGCCAUCAUUUAAAGAAAGCGUAAUAGCUCACUGGUCGAGUCGGCCUGCGCGGAAGAUGUAACGGGGCUAAACCAUGCACCGAAGCUGCGGCAGCGACACUAUGUGUUGUUGGGUAGGGGAGCGUUCUGUAAGCCUGUGAAGGUGGCCUGUGAGGGUUGCUGGAGGUAUCAGAAGUGCGAAUGCUGACAUAAGUAACGAUAAAGCGGGUGAAAAGCCCGCUCGCCGGAAGACCAAGGGUUCCUGUCCAACGUUAAUCGGGGCAGGGUGAGUCGACCCCUAAGGCGAGGCCGAAAGGCGUAGUCGAUGGGAAACAGGUUAAUAUUCCUGUACUUGGUGUUACUGCGAAGGGGGGACGGAGAAGGCUAUGUUGGCCGGGCGACGGUUGUCCCGGUUUAAGCGUGUAGGCUGGUUUUCCAGGCAAAUCCGGAAAACCAAGGCUGAGGCGUGAUGACGAGGCACUACGGUGCUGAAGCGACAAAUGCCCUGCUUCCAGGAAAAGCCUCUAAGCAUCAGGUAACAUCAAAUCGUACCCCAAACCGACACAGGUGGUCAGGUAGAGAAUACCAAGGCGCUUGAGAGAACUCGGGUGAAGGAACUAGGCAAAAUGGUGCCGUAACUUCGGGAGAAGGCACGCUGAUAUGUAGGUGAAGCGACUUGCUCGUGGAGCUGAAAUCAGUCGAAGAUACCAGCUGGCUGCAACUGUUUAUUAAAAACACAGCACUGUGCAAACACGAAAGUGGACGUAUACGGUGUGACGCCUGCCCGGUGCCGGAAGGUUAAUUGAUGGGGUUAGCGGCAACGCGAAGCUCUUGAUCGAAGCCCCGGUAAACGGCGGCCGUAACUAUAACGGUCCUAAGGUAGCGAAAUUCCUUGUCGGGUAAGUUCCGACCUGCACGAAUGGCGUAAUGAUGGCCAGGCUGUCUCCACCCGAGACUCAGUGAAAUUGAACUCGCUGUGAAGAUGCAGUGUACCCGCGGCAAGACGGAAAGACCCCGUGAACCUUUACUAUAGCUUGACACUGAACAUUGAGCCUUGAUGUGUAGGAUAGGUGGGAGGCUUUGAAGUGUGGACGCCAGUCUGCAUGGAGCCGACCUUGAAAUACCACCCUUUAAUGUUUGAUGUUCUAACGUUGGCCCGUAAUCCGGGUUGCGGACAGUGUCUGGUGGGUAGUUUGACUGGGGCGGUCUCCUCCUAAAGAGUAACGGAGGAGCACGAAGGUUGGCUAAUCCUGGUCGGACAUCAGGAGGUUAGUGCAAUGGCAUAAGCCAGCUUGACUGCGAGCGUGACGGCGCGAGCAGGUGCGAAAGCAGGUCAUAGUGAUCCGGUGGUUCUGAAUGGAAGGGCCAUCGCUCAACGGAUAAAAGGUACUCCGGGGAUAACAGGCUGAUACCGCCCAAGAGUUCAUAUCGACGGCGGUGUUUGGCACCUCGAUGUCGGCUCAUCACAUCCUGGGGCUGAAGUAGGUCCCAAGGGUAUGGCUGUUCGCCAUUUAAAGUGGUACGCGAGCUGGGUUUAGAACGUCGUGAGACAGUUCGGUCCCUAUCUGCCGUGGGCGCUGGAGAACUGAGGGGGGCUGCUCCUAGUACGAGAGGACCGGAGUGGACGCAUCACUGGUGUUCGGGUUGUCAUGCCAAUGGCACUGCCCGGUAGCUAAAUGCGGAAGAGAUAAGUGCUGAAAGCAUCUAAGCACGAAACUUGCCCCGAGAUGAGUUCUCCCUGACUCCUUGA